rnacentral:rRNA from 1 species
UACGUAGGGUGCAAGCGUUGUCCGGAAUUAUUGGGCGUAAAGAGCUCGUAGGUGGUCUGUCGCGUCUGCUGUGAAAACUCGGGGCUUAACCCCGGGCCUGCAGUGGGUACGGGCAGACUAGAGUGCGGUAGGAGAGACUGGAAUUCCUGGUGUAGCGGUGGAAUGCGCAGAUAUCAGGAGGAACACCGAUGGCGAAGGCAGAUCUCUGGGCCGUUACUGACGCUGAGGAGCGAAAGCGUGGGGAGCGAACAGG